rnacentral:rRNA from 1 species
AUGCUUGCAUCGCAUACCCGUGCGCAGACCGUCAACGUCAGAAUCGCGUUGGCAAACCUCCAGAAGGGCAAUAUGACUAUCACUGAAUAUGUCGGUAAGGUCCAAACCCUUUGUGAUGAAUUAGCUGCUUCAAGGAAGAAGGUGGACGAGGAGGAUGUCGUCUCUCACAUCCUCGCGGGACUCGACGAGGAAUUCGACCCCGUGGUGUCUGCCAUGUGCUCUAGGGUUGAGCCUGUCGGGGUUCCGGAGCUGUACUCGCAGCUCCUGAGCUUCCAGACUCGCAUGAAUUUACAUGGCGGGUCCUCUCAGUCGUCGGCAAACGCAGCGGCACGCGGGCGCGGUCGCGGUCGCGGCGGUGGUGACUACAGUGAUCGUGGACGCGACUUCAGCAACAGGCAAGGCGGCGGCGGUGAUCGUGGCCGUGGCACCUUCCCCAAGCCACUGAAUUGUCGCAACCCUGGAGGCAACAACGGCAGCAGCAGCAACUACAACAACAACGCCACCAAACCAACAUGCCAGAUCUGCAGCAAGGUUGGUUACCCGGCGUGGAAGUGCUGGAAGCAUUACGACUCCUCUUAUCAAGGGGGGAGGAACGCUCUGCAAACAUGGCGGCUCCGCAGUAUGGCGUCGACACCAACUGGUACUUGGACAGUGGUGCGACGAACCAUAUCACAUGAGACCUAG